AUUGAACGCUAGCGGCAGGCCUCCCCCAUGCAAGUCGAGCGAGCGGCGGACGGGUGAGUAAUGUAUGGGGACUGCCCGAUAGAGGGGGAUAAAUAAUGGAAACGGUAGCUAAUACCGCAUACUAUCGGAUAACCCAUAUGGGAUUAGCUAGUAGGUGAGGUAAUGGCUCAACUAGGCGACGAGCCCUAGCUAGUCUGUGAGGAUGAUCAGCCAAACGGGGACUGAGACACGGCCCAGACUCCUACGGAGGCAGCAGUGGGGAAUAUUGCACAAUGGGCGCAAGCCUGAUGCAGCCAUGCCGCGUGUAUGAAGAAGGCCCUAGGGUUGUAAAGUACUUGCAGUCGGGAGGCGUUACCGACAGAAGAAGCACCGGCUAACUCCGUGCCAGCAGCCGCGGUAAUUC
rnacentral:rRNA from 1 species